AGGGUUUGAUCAUGGCUCAGAAUGAACGCUGGCGGCAGGCCUAACACAUGCAAGUCGAACGGUAACAGAACUAGCUUGCUAGUUGCUGACGAGUGGCGGACGGGUGAGUAAUACUUAGGGAUCUGCCUCUGUGUGGGGGAUAACUAUUGGAAACGAUAGCUAAUACCGCAUAACGUCUACGGACCAAAGAGGGCUUCGGCUCUCGCGCAGAGAGGAACCUAAGCGAGAUUAGCUAGUUGGUGAGGUAAAGGCUCACCAAGGCGACGAUCUCUAGCUGUUCUGAGAGGAAGAUCAGCCACACUGGAACUGAGACACGGUCCAGACUCCUACGGGAGGCAGCAGUGGGGAAUAUUGCACAAUGGGGGAAACCCUGAUGCAGCCAUGCCGCGUGUGUGAAGAAGGCCUUCGGGUUGUAAAGCACUUUCAGUUGUGAGGAAAGGUUAGUAGUUAAUACCUGCUAGCUGUGACGUUAACAACAGAAGAAGCACCGGCUAACUCCGUGCCAGCAGCCGCGGUAAUACGGAGGGUGCGAGCGUUAAUCGGAAUUACUGGGCGUAAAGCGCACGCAGGCGGUCUGUUAAGCUAGAUGUGAAAGCCCCGCGCUCAACGUGGGAGGGUCAUUUAGAACUGGCAGACUAGAGUCUUGGAGAGGGGAGUGGAAUUCCAGGUGUAGCGGUGAAAUGCGUAGAGAUCUGGAGGAACAUCAAUGGCGAAGGCAACUCCCUGGCCAAAGACUGACGCUCAUGUGCGAAAGUGUGGGUAGCGAACAGGAUUAGAUACCCUGGGUAGUCCACACCGUAAACGCUGUCUACUAGCUGUUUGUGGAUUUAAUCCGUGAGUAGCGAAGCUAACGCGAUAAGUAGACCGCCUGGGGAGUACGGCCGCAAGGUUAAAACUC
rnacentral:rRNA from 1 species